rnacentral:rRNA from 1 species
AUGAGCACGAGAGGGGAGAUGUCUACCCCUGGCUGCCGCCGCACCUCCCCGCCGCCUGCCUCUCUGCCAGACGACGACGACAUGCUUCGGGAGGUUCUCCUCCGCCUGCCCCCGCGGCCUUCCUCCCUGCCCCGGGCCUCCCUCGUCUGCAAGCGUUGGCGCAGCCUCGUCGCCGAUCCCCAAUUCCAGUGCCGCUUCCGCGACCACCACGGCAAGCCUCCUCUCCUUGGCUUCUUCCUCGAUUCCCGUCCGUUUGUUCCGAUUCUGGAUCCACCAGACCGCAUCCCCGAAGCUCGCUUCUCCAUGCCUCCCCUCGAGAGCUACCGCAUCAUCGACUGUCGCGACGGGCUCGUCCUUUUCCUCGCCCACAGGAUGAUGCGCCGCUUGGUUUUAUGGAACCCCGUCGCGCGCGAGCAGCGCCGGCUGAUCUUCCCGCCGGAGCUGGACAACGCCCAGAUGUUCUUCUUCAACGGGGCGGUGCGUCGCCCUGCCCGCCGCCAAGGAUGGCAUUUCCAGGUGGCCCUCAUAGCCCGUGACACACUAUGCACAAGAGUUUCGGUAUGGCUUUACUCAUCAGAGACCGGGGCAUGGGGCAACAUCAACUCACUGCAGCUGCAAUCGAUUCAGUCUAUGCCACAGCCCAGCACUUUGAUUGGGAAUUCCUUUUGCUGGUUAUUUACCGCGGGUCAUGGCUGUGUCAUACUUGAGUUUGAUCUUGAUAGGCAGAGCCUAGCUGUGACAGAGCUGCCACCACACACAGAUAUGGAAGCCGACUUUCACAAGUUAUGGAUUAUGCCCUCCCAGGGUGGUGGGCUUGGCUUCAUCCAUCUCUCACAAUUCCACGCCCAAUUAUGGAAGAGAGAGCCUGAUUCUGAUGGUUUUCCUGUAUGGGUGCCCGACAGAGCUGUUGAAUUCGGGGAACUUAGAUCAACUUGCAAGGGCGACUUCCUCACUUUGGUUGGGUUUGACGAGGAGAGUAAUGCAAUCCUUGUGCUGACAGCUUCUGGUGUCUUCAUGGUCUACCUCCAGUCAAUGGAGUUCAAGAAACUUUCUGAUCCAAAGUCCUUCUGUCACCAUUAUCCAUUUGCAUGUUUCUAUCCUGCAGGUACUGGCAUUGUUGAUGGACAUGAUGGAAAUGAAGUCUUGAACAAUAUGUGA